rnacentral:rRNA from 1 species
GUCCACGCCCUAAACUAUGGAUACUCGACAUACGCGAUACACAGUGUGUGUCUGAGCGAAAGCAUUAAGUAUCCCCACCUGGGGAAGUACGAUCGCAAGAUUGAAACUCAAAAGGAAUUGGGCGGGGGUCCGCACAAGCGGUGGAGCAUGUUGGUUUAAUUCGAUGAUACGCGAGGAACCUUACCUGGGCUAGAAUGCAGAAUGACCGUGGGUUGAAAGCUCAUUUUUGUAGCAAUACACAUUUUGUAAGGUGCUGCAUGGCUGUCGU